rnacentral:rRNA from 1 species
GCUUACGGCCACACCACCCUGAGCACGCUCGCUCUCGUCUGAUCUCGGAAGCCAAGCAGGGUCGGGCCUGGUUAGUACUUGGAUGGGAGACCGCCUGGGAAUACCAGGUGCUGUAAACAU